ACUGCUGCUCCGUUGGACAUAGGAUGACAAGAGAUAUGUCCUGGCGAAGAAAGGAACUUAUGCGUAAGUUGCGGUAUCUAUGAUUGCUAGAAAAGUUUACCUAUGCAACAAGUGCCAAGACCUUGGGCGCAGGAUCCUGAAGCGGUGCCAGCAAGGAGGCUGCACUCCUGAAGAGAGCAUGCAGCUACCGACGGUGAACACGUCGUCCUCGGUUACGCAUUGGUCGUACAGUGUUUGACGGAGCUUUGAGGGUUAGAAACCAGAGGCGCUAAGAUGUAGUAGUACUUUCCGUCAUGGUCGCCUCUCCAGCCGCGAAGGUGGUUAGAACUGCCAUUGCAAGGAAACCAGCUGCUACGACGCGCGGAAGACCCCUCAUGUUGAACAGGGGAAUCAGAUCAAGACACCCGCACAUCUGCCUCUGACCAGACAGAUUACAACACGGGGGACGUGACGUCCAGCAUUGUUGCAGCCGCAUCGCCAAGGGAACACCGUGCAGCAUCAUCACAGCCCACAAGACGUUCCAGCAGAAUAACCAGCAGGAAUUCGAACAACAACAACGGAAUCACCUAGUUGGGCUGUUGAGCGGUUCCUUCAUUUGCGUUCGUCAUGGUGGAAUAAUUGUCCUAUUCAGAAGUUUACUUCGACAGAUUUUUAAAUGUAUAAUGUUCACUUGGCUGAGGAUGAACCUGGUGCAGGGUUCGAA